rnacentral:rRNA from 1 species
AUUGAACGCUGGCGGCAGGCUUAACACAUGCAAGUCGAGCGGGGGCUUCGGUCCUAGCGGCGAACGGGUGAGGAAUGCCUGGGAAUCUGCCUGGUAGUGGGGGAUAACGAUUCGAAAGGGUCGCUAAUACCGCAUACGUCCUACGGGAGAAAGCAGGGGACCUUCGGGCCUUGCGCUAUCAGAUGAGCCCAGGUCGGAUUAGCUAGUAGGUGGGGUAAAGGCUCACCUAGGCGACGAUCCGUAGCUGGUCUGAGAGGAUGAUCAGCCACACUGGAACUGAGACACGGUCCAGACUCCUACGGGAGGCAGCAGUGGGGAAUAUUGGACAAUGGGGGCAACCCUGAUCCAGCCAUGCCGCGUGUGUGAAGAAGGCCUUCGGGUUGUAAAGCACUUUAAGCGAGGAGGAAGGUCUUUGAACUAAUAUUUCAAAGAAUUGACGUUACUCGCAGAAUAAGCACCGGCUAACUCUGU